GUCCUGGAGCUGACUGAUGUCAAUGUUGCUCUGCUCAGUGAGCUUCAGGACCAGCUGGCUGAGGGGACUCUUCUUUGGGCUCUGCUCUUGGCACUGCAGGGCUGCUUUAUGGGGGGAAGCAUUGUGGAGUAGUGGUUAGGGCUCUGGACUCCUGACCGGAAGGUCUUGUAAGGGUUCAAUCCCUGGUGGAGGACACACUGCUGCUGCACCCUUGAGCAAGCAUUGCAGCACUUUAAUGCUCAGGAGUCCCAGCAGCCCAUUCAUUGCAUGCCUCUCCAAUGAAACACAUUCUGACCUGCAGAAACUAGGUGUGAUCCUCAGAUGCAGAGAGCUGCUCAAUCCGAGCCUUCCUCCCCCUCAGCUCAGCGAUCUCCUGCUCCAGCUGAUCUCUCUGCACCCCGGCCCGCCUCAAUGCAGCCUCCUCCUGAGCGUCAAUCAUCUCCCCCACCUGCCUCAUGAUCCCCUCCAGGCAGCACAGCAGCUCCCCCAGGACCUCCUCGCUCUCCCCCCUCUCCUUCCGAGCCAAGAGCUGAGAGACAGGGGAAGGGGAAGAGGCACACCAACAAAUCACAAUCACAAUAUUACUGACAAGAGAGAGACAUAAAAUGCCAGAACGUAAAGCUGCACCCGUUCCCAAGAAAGGUUUCAGGAAGCCGUCGAUAGAGCCAGUCAAAGGGAGGAAAGAAGUGCAGCAAAUCCAGGAAGGAGAGCUACGCUUUAUGUCCUGGUAAGGAUUAACUUCCAGGCAAGACGGAAUUUCCGGAGUGGGGCAUCUGGAGGAUGCUUAGUAUGUAUUGGCAAUAAACCUGGUUCUGAUUGUUAAAUAAGUCUCCUUUAAAUUAUUCAAUGCAAUACUGCAGUAGUGAGAGCCAAAAAUAA